GUGUUCACUUCGGCAGCACAUAUACAAAAACUGGAACUAUGCUGAGAAGAUUAGCAUGGCCCCUGUCUGACACACAAAUUCAUGAAGCGUUUCAUAGUUUU
rnacentral:snRNA from 1 species